UUUUCCUUUGUUUUUCAUUUUAGGUCUCAUCAGAUGUAUUACAUGUUUGGAUUCCUGUUCCUAGUUUUUAUAAUUCUUCUAAUUACGUGUUCAGAAGCUACAGUUUUGCUGUGCUACUUCCAUCUGUGUGCAGAGGAUUAUCACUGGUGGUGGAGGUCGUUCUUGACCAGCAGCUUUACAGCAGUUUAUCUCUUUAUCUAUGCAGUUCAUUACUUCUUCUCCAAACUCCAGAUAACAGGAACUGCCAGCACCAUUUUAUACUUUGGUUACACAAUGAUCAUGGUCUUGAUUUUUUUCCUUUUCACAGGGACUAUUGGAUUUUUUGCCUGCUUCUGGUUUGUAAGUAAGAUUUACAGUGUUGUGAAAGUGGACUGAAAAGCUUCAAAGUGUCUUUUGAACAUAUCUCCCUUGCUGUUUGAUAAUUUUUACCAUGUAUUGAAAAACAUCCUGUGUAAUUAUUCUAAUUUGCAAAAGCUGAAGACCAGACUACAGCAUAAAAUACGGAUUUUAAUGGAAGGAAAUGGCACCAUUGCCAUUUUGAUAAAAACAAAAAUGUUGGUAUACUCAUUGAACAUGUUCAUUGUAAUAAUUCAGAAAUUAUAUCCAGAAUUUGAUUUAAGACAAAUAAAAAUUCUGUGAACUGGUUUAUCUGAAAAAUGUGUGCAGUCCUCCAGCUGAAUUUUCUUGUGAUUUGGGGGGGGGUUUUGUUACCUCUUUUGGUUACCAUUUAUAUACCAUUAAAGCAUAGGACUGUCAAGUAAAUCUAUAUAAAAUGUGAAUUUUUUUAACUUAACUAUGAUUGUACAUAUUAUCCUGCACCUUCUUUACAACUAGGUAUCUUCUUACAAAUGUACAUGCAUUUAGUUUAAGGUAGACUUUAUUAAAAAUAUCGACACUGGUUUUUGUUCAAAUAAAACUGCACAACUCUGUC